GGAAUAUUGGACAAUGGGCGCAAGCCUGAUCCAGCCAUGCCGCGUGUGUGAAGAAGGCCUUCGGGUUGUAAAGCACUUUCAGCGAGGAGGAAGGGGUUGUUGUUAAUAGCAACAAUUUUUGCCGUUACUCGCAGAAGAAGCACCGGCUAACUCCGUGCCAGCAGCCGCGGUAAUACGGAGGGUGCUAGCGUUAAGCGGAAUUACUGGGCAUACCGCGCACGCAGGCGGCUUUUUAAGUCGGAUGUGAAAGCCCCGGGCUCAACCUGGGAAUUGCAUUCGAUACUGGGAAGCUAGAGUAUGUGAGAGGGGGGUAGAAUUCCAAGUGUAGCGGUGAAAUGCGUAGAGAUUUGGAGGAAUACCAGUGGCGAAGGCGGCCCCCUGGCACAAUACUGACGCUCAGGUGCGAAAGCGUGGGGAGC
rnacentral:rRNA from 1 species